ensembl:lncRNA
GUCGUAGCGUGGCGUGAAUUCAAAUCGGUUGCAAUAAGACCGAAGGGCGGACUGGUUUGAGCUUGUUAAAUUAUUGUUGUAUUUAGGGCAGAGCCUUGUCACAUCCCUCUAUAAUUUUUUUUUUUUUUUUUUAAUUUUGCGAAGUUUUAGUAGGGCUGGGCGGCAUAACAAAAUGACUUUUCAAUUAGACUAGCGUUCAGUGCGUUCAGUAUGGACUUCCUGGACGUAAAGGGAGAGUAGGCUUUCAAAGAAUCUCCAGACAAACUGUGCUGCGGAGGGGUCCCCGACAAUAACCCGAGAAAGAGAUUUCGCCGCUUAACCCGAACGGACCGCCGCUGCCGCCGUGCGAGACCGCCGGACCUAAACUCUCCCCGGGUAAGUCCUAGCUCUGUCUGGGUGUGGAGUUGUGUUCAUGUGUCUCCCGAAAAAGAGUAGACUAGCCCUGUAGUUCAAAUGAUAAAACGUUGAAAAGGAAGCGAUUCUUUGGACUAGUUUCCGUCUUUGAACAAUGUUUGGGUGUUAUCCGCUCCAGGACUUGUACGUCGGUUGCUAAAGGACUAGCCACAGACUGGAGCUGUAACUAUCAGGCAAAAUCCGAGGUAAACGUGGCACCGCUUUCAAGUCCAAACAAACUCGGCUCAUCUCUCGCCUGAGGUUCCUUUAGCUGUAGUUUUACCUUGUUUGGCCUUUCUGUGUGAAAAGCAGCUUUAGAGGGAGCAGUGUAGGUCUGAGCUGCAGAUGGGCUGAGGGCCAGACUAGGCCUGUAUGAGGCCGAGCCCCUCCACCACUCUGCCUCUGCCUCUAAAGCUCCAACGUCUCUCAGCUCAGCAUCACACUUUUUACCUUUAUUAUAAUCCACUUUUCCCUUUUCAAAAUGUGGACUUUUGGGGAAAACUGAAGGUCUAAAAUACGUCCGCAGUGACACGUGGCUGCGUAAAACUUACAUGAGGAGAAAAUAAUCACGAUUAUAUUCAUUUCUUGUGCGCUACAAAUACAAAAUGCAUAAUAGUGUUUUUAAAAGUCUGUGGACAAGCAUAAACACGACCAGUGCUUUAAGGCAAACAGCGCCAUGUGUUUCUCUGUUUCUUUAUUUGAUUGUUGCUAGGCUAAAGCUCAAACAGAAAAGUUCAGUUUUUUCUAUGAUAAUAAUGAUGGUAAUAUUUAGUCGUGUGUAUUUGCGCAGAUACAACUUUAUAAAAAAUACACUUCGCUCAUAACAAUAGUUAAAUUGUACCUGGGGGUAUAAAUAAAGUUCCUUAUCCCUGUUCUUAGCUGGUUUAAGUUGCCCUGUGUGUGAGGACACCCUGAGCUCGUCAGUAUCGACUUUGGCCAAUAGGUAGGAGUGGAGGCAGCGUGACUCAUCAGUCAUAGCUACAGACGUUCCUCCUACGUCCUGCGUUUUCAGGCCUGUUCAGACGCCAUUGGUGCAGAGCCCUGAAGGAAACCCUCUCUCCUACGCCUCAGCUCGGACCCCGUCCUCAGACCCCAGCCCUUCGGAGGGUGUAAAUACGUCAGCGUUCAAAAAGCAGCACGUCACUGUACCACACCAAUCAGAGUGCACUGCAGCAAAGUAAUCAGACAAAUUAUCCCCCACAGACAAACGCUGCGUGUUGGGUUCAGGCGCUUUCGUAAAUAGGCGAUUUUAUGUUUUUCCCCUUUUUUGCUUUUUCACCAAUUUAUUUUAAAUAAGUUGAUGCACAAUUACCUUUUGGUGGAUUUUUUUUUUUUUAUGCAAUCUAAUUUUACAAGAUUUUACUCGUACACUACGCGCUGCACAUCCA